rnacentral:lncRNA from 1 species
AGAUUAUUUCAAGUGCAAUAUGCCACAGAGAUGCUCAAGCUUUGUUUUAUAACCAUUAGUAUACAGACUUCAGAUGUAUCUUAUCUGUGUGCCUAGCUAUAGAAAAGAGAAUUAUAGCUAUUGCCCCACAGCAGUGAGAAAAUUGUAGAUAUUGUCAGGAGUAGGCUGUUGCUGAUAAGACUUUAACUGAUAAAGCUACUGUGCAGACACAGAACUGCUGGCUCAUCUGCAAUAAAACAAUAACACUGGAAAUUUUUUAAAAUUCAAACCUAGCUGUGCAAUUUAGAGAAGAUGAAGGUAUAGAUGCCAUGCUUCAUUCCUUUGAAAUAAUCGCCAAAUGCUUCAUAUGAACUCUUCUGGGACCUUUGGUACAACGUGAUGUUUGAGCAAUUGGCUCUGCCUCAGAGGAUGCUGAGAGCUUUUUGCAAGAAGUUUGCCAUAAAU